rnacentral:lncRNA from 1 species
CAUCCAUCCGAACUUGAGCUUGCUGUCAGACUUUUGGAAGUAGAUCUAAAUCGGCUCUCCGACAUUUAAAAUUGCUCAGCUCACUGUAUUGCUCGACCCUCGUUGAUGGCAAUUCGAUCUCGAGCGGGAUCAUUGCUUCCAUUCUAUAAGUCAAAUUAAAUGGUGAUUCUCCCAUCGGUAUGUGAGGAGUUGUUUAGUAUGCCCAUA